AGAGUCAGUUUCAUUUUCUGGUUAAGUCUCAUUUGACAUUGUUCCUUUUGUUAUGAGAGAAAACAUUUCCAUUCUGAAAAAUUAAUCAAUAUAAAAAUAACUGAAUAACAGAAAUAUGGAAAGGAUCAAUGGAGAUAAGGUUUGAAUUUUUUCUAAAAGAGUUACCUGCUCUUUGUAUUCUGCAGAAUGGAUGCACUUGAGCCGACCUAAGCAUUCAUGGUCAUGAGAUUUGUGGUUGCCACUGUUGGUUAGGAGCAUAGAGAUCAGUAAUGGACACACCUGGGCUGGCAGAACAUCUUGCCUUGAUCUGGAGCCCCAUGUCUGCCCCUCUGUAGAGGUGCACAUGGGCCAAUGAUGGAUGCAAUGAGCUGAUCAUUUUGCUGUGAUCAAGGCUAUGUUGCCUCUGUGUUAGGCCAAUGUGAGUAAUGGUUCUUGUCUUGGUUUAGGUUGUUUAAUGGUAUUCCUGAUAUUAUUAAAAAUUAUUUAAUAUAAUAAAAAGUUAAUUGGCUUAAUGACAAUGUGCAACAUUGAGGUUAAUUAAUGAAAGAGAUGUAGUCUCUGUGGGAAAUUAUUGUAUAGACAAAUGUAAGGAUUCUUCAAAUAUCUUGUUCUUGGGUUUUCAAAAUCAUGUAUUCAUUUUAUUAUCAAAGAAGAAAUGAUUUAUUCAAUAAAUAUUUAGAAAUGAAUGAUGAAAGAGAGACCCAACUAUGAAUCAAUGGUGACCACUGGUGGCAUAUAAGUCAUGGAUGAUGAAUAUGAGAAGAAAAGAAUCUAGGUUUUUGCUUCUGUUGGAAAUGAUCCUGUAGACAAUGUCAGAAACAUACAAAGAUCAUUUUCUUAUCUUGGGGUCAUAGAUUUAGGUUUAUUAUUACUAAUAUAUGAAUGAUAGAACCAUUAAACAAAUAUAAACAGAUUACAAGUAGAGAUUUAAGCUACAGUGUCCAGCUAUGAAUAUAGGAGAUGAGAUAAAUUAUUACUAAAAAUAGGAGAUACUGAUUCCUCUUAUCAAAGAAAUGGAUCACAGUGUUUCCUCUUUGACUAAGGAUUAUAUAGAAUCUAACAAGUAAGAGUCAGUUUUAUUUUCUUGGUCAGAGAUUGUUUCUUCUGUUAAGAGAGAAAGACACCUAUAAUAUGAAAAAUUAGUAAAUACCCAAAUCACUGAAUAAAUGCUAUGCAGAAAGGCAGGAUCAACAGAGAUUAGGUCUCAAUGUUUUUAGUCUGCUCUGUACUCCUCAGAAUGGACAGACCCGGGCUGAUUUUGGUGUUCUGUGGCUAUGAGAUCAGUGGUUGCCUCCAUGUGUUAGGAACAUGGAGACUGACGUAAUAGUCAAACUUCUUGUCUCAGUUUCAGUGUUCUUCUGAAGGGUAUGCAGUAAGUGCAAAAUGUAAUCAGUGACUGCCAACCAUUACCCAAAUGUAAAAAA
ensembl:lncRNA MEG8 maternally expressed 8, small nucleolar RNA host gene